GGAAGUGGUGGCUCAGUGGUUAAGACGUUGGACGUCAGAUCGGAAGGUCGAGAGUUCAAAUCCCAGCAUUGCCA